rnacentral:misc_RNA from 1 species
AACGCAUAUUGCGCCCUCUGGUAUUCCGGGGGGCAUGCCUGUUCGAGCGUCAUUAUCACCCCUCAAGCCCGGCUUGUUGUUGGACGCCGGCGGUCGCCUUCGCGCCCCCGCCCGUCUCAAAGAUAAUGACGGCGUCUGUUUAGACUCCCUGUACACUGAGCUUUCGGGCACGUACUCGGCUUUGUCUUCCAGGCCCGGUCUUGGUCGCUUCGGCGACAACUUUUUACCAAGGUUGACCUCGGAUCAGGUAGGAAUACCCGCUGAACUUAA